UAAGGCGCCAAAUCUGACGGCCCAGCAUGAUCAUCUGGUAGAAGACGUUCUUGCAAUGGAGCAACAUCUGGACCAGGAGGUUUCCUAGGAACGUUUGCUGCUGGCAAGGAUGUGAGCAUGGAUGUAUUGAGUGAUUUGGAUUUCUUGCAUUUGUGGAGGACUGUGGAGACAUUGUUGUCAACCUUGAGAUCUUUGUGCCCUCAAGAUGCUCAGAUCAAUCGAUUGGGGGAGCAGCCCACUAUGUUUUUGGUAGCAUGGCAUUCUUUCACCUUGGGUUUAGGGUGUGUUGAGUGAUGUAGUUUUGGAUUAUAAAAAAAUAUUGCAGUCA
rnacentral:lncRNA from 1 species